CAUGGGCAUCUUUCCAUUUCCUUUAUAACAAUUAACAAAAUGGGUGUUUCAAAUAUGUCCCUUUUUAGAAACAUAAAAAUGGGUUCAAAUCUAUUUCUUGAAAAACAUACUAUUGUGAAUAAAAUUUUGGCGUGGUUAUCAAGGGGAAUGGUUACAUUUCUUGAGAAACGGUGGCUUCAAGCCUUCAACAUGGAAGUUGUUUGUCUGUAGUGGACGAUGGGACCAGAGACCAGAGCAAUGGUGGUGAUUUCUUCCUUUGGUGCCAUCGCCGAUCUUUUCCCCCCAUACCACUAGCAUGUAAUCAUGCAGGCCGCCAACAGAAAAUUUAUUGAUCACCUAUGGUUUGAUUUGAUGGUGGACUUAAUCAUCAUUCAAAACAGUAGGUUUAUUUGGCUUGUUAUGAUCAACAAAACGAAAUAGGCUUUGUCAUCCAAUCAUGUAAAAGCAUCUUUCUGCACAAUUUGGCAAAUGCAUUGUGAUAUUGCGAGUUCAACAA